GCUUAGUGAGGUCCCAAGGAAGCUCGGAGUGCUUCGUUGGAAGUUUUUGGACGUAAGAACACGGAGAUCGACAAGUUCAAAGUUUGGCCGGAGCUUUAGAGGCUUUUUUCCGGCGAAUCCCCGGCGAGUUAGGAGUCGAGGUAGGUAUCAAUCUCUUCGUCUCGUCAAGUACUACAACUUUCCUUUUUGUUUCACUCAAUUUCGUUGAGUAUUGAAGAAGUUAUACUCAUUUGAAAAAUACCCAGUUUCCGGCGACCUCCGAGGCUUUCGAGGCAGUUUCCGGCCAAACCACGGCGAACUAGGUGUUGUGCAAGGUACCAUUCUCUUUGUCUCUUCAAGGGCUACAACUUUCGUUUUUGAAUCACUUGAUUUCGUUGAGAAAUGACAAAAAGUUAUGGCAAUUUGAAAAACUGCCGGAAAACGGCCGCCGGAAAAACCAGUCCGGCGACCCAAGGAAGAAGAAGGUGCUACAGUAAAAAAUAAAAAAUAAAAAUAAAAUUAUUUUAAAAAUAUGUCGACGUCCGUGACGUCGAGUAGAUCACUGUGGUAUAUUCAUAUACCUAAAUUGAACACCGUAUGAGAAAGUUAUUGAGGAUUGUUGGUUAGGUGUUCGAAUAACGUUUUAUAGUUUUCACAUUAGGUGAAAAUGUGAAUUGAUGAUCCGACCGUUGGAUCAUCACCAAACUUUGAUACGUUGUAAUACGUAAUAUUUGAAGAUUAUUGGAACUUACGGAUUGGGAAUCCGAGUUACGGAUCUUCCGGAAUUGGAAUUGUAAGUCCAUAAUAUAAAAUGUUAACCGUCACUUAGUUUUGGAAAUUGACGGAGAUCCGACCGUUGGAUGGUAAUGAAAUUUUAGGAUGUUGUCCUAGAGGUAUAUUGUAGACCUCUGGAAGUUAUGGAUUUAAAAUCUGAGUGGCAGAUCUUCCGGAUCGAUCAACGUAGUGACGUAUUUUAUAUAAGUUAUGUAUUCUAUCGAUGUGAAUUCUGAGGUUGGAUUUGAUUACUGUUCUAGGCGGCGAUCGUCAUGACGCCUUGGCGUAUUGUGCUAGGGAGUUGUAGGGCGAACUCCAGGUGAGUGGGCAGUUUUGUUUUCCGUAUAUAUAUAUACUUGACGUUUCCCAGAAAUUGAAUUGAAAUGAAAAUAUGUUUAAAAUGAAAUGCAUAUGAGUUAUGUGGAAAAACGGGAAGUGAAAUACCAUGCAUAGAAUUGAUAUGAAAAGUAUAUAGAAAUGUGAGUUGAAAUGCCAUGCAUGAAUUGAUAUAUGAUGCAUAUGUAUGAAUUGGUGCGGUGGACGCACAUGUAAGAAUUAAUAUAUGAUGCAUAUGUAUGAAUUGGUGCGGUGGACGCACAUGUAAGAAUUGAUUUAUGAUGCAUAUGUAUGAAAUGGUGCGGUGGACGCACAGGUGAGUAUCAGGUGAUUAUUUAAAUACUGUUAUGAUGAUGUUGAUAUAUAUUGAGCUCAAAUCCUGCACCAUGGUUUAGUGCUUAUAGUAUUCACCGCAUCGCACGCUCGCCUUGGAUCCAAGUAGAUGCUAGUCGUACAGUCCACGCGGAGUGGGUACGACAGACCAGUCGCGAGAGUGUUAGUGAGAUUCCGACUGGUGGGUGACCUUAGAUUAUGUGCACAGAUGAUUUAUGAGAAGCACUAGAGCGUAACUUGUGUGCAGAAGGCCGGACGGGUCACAGAGGUGACUCCGGUAGAGUGAUAAUGAUAGAUUUUGAGCUCUAGGUUCAACCGUACAGGGCUAUUAGAGGGCCUACGGUUGAUUACUUUCUUGCACCUGAUAUGAUUAUGUUGAUGCAUUCAUACCUUAUUACUGUUGAGAUGAUGUGGCAUGGCAUAAUUAAUAUGAGAAAUGUUGAGAUGACAUGGCAUGGCAUGAUUGAUAAAAAGAGAUAAUGUUGAGAUAGUAAAAAUGAAGUUUUGAGAAUAUAUAUGUAUAUUUAUAUUUUACAUUUCUGGGAAAGUAUACAGGUUUUACGGAGAGGGGUUACAACGUUUUGAGAAAUGUUUGGAUUUGGAAAAGAAUUGUUUUACUGACCCACUCAAUUUUGGUUUUGCGCCCCUCCAGGUUCAGGAAUCACAAAGGUGUGGUGACUACGAGGAAUUCGACGGUGUUCUGACAGAUUGGACAAAAUUAGGACUCACCUUCGGGUGUAUCAACUUAUAAAUUG
rnacentral:lncRNA from 1 species